rnacentral:lncRNA from 1 species
GCAUUAAUGUAUAUUUGACAAUUAUACUACUUUCUCAAAAUUACACUAAUAUAUCUAUGACUAGAAAUGGGAUGAUGCAUAUAUAACAUUCCUAGACAUGAGGCAGUUGUAAAAUAUAAAAAAGUGAUAUAUUAUAGAGCCUUGCCAUGAUAUUAGAUGGAAAAAUUAUUUUUUUAUACUAUAUGAGAGGACUGAUGGAAUUUAUUGAGCAGCCUAAGAUAGGAUAGAGCUAUAGUGUAUCUGUGCUUCAUAUAGGAUAAUUUUUUAAAAAAUAUAAACAUACUAUAUAAAGAAAAAAAUUUUAGACAAGAAAUAUGACCUAGUCACUAGUAUUCUAAAAAAAUAAGCAUACGCAGCAGCAGU